CCAACCCAUGCCCCAACCUACACUCUUCUGUCCCUUGCAGGUAAGUACAGUGCAGUGAUGGCUAUAUUCCUGGAAUGGAUUAAUAAUCUAACUGUUCCUCUUGAAUUUCUUUAAACUAACUAUUUAUGUAGGUAUUUUUGCAACCAAUUACCUCAAUGUGCAAAGUCGAGUCGAAAAGUGGAUACUUUUUAGUUUUUUCAUCAUAUUUUUGUACAUUUUGACACUUUGUAUAACUCCACUAUUCGGGGACCUAUUAUUUUUUUGUGACUAUACCUACAUAUUGAUGUGGUAUUUUUGGAAGUUAGAUUUUGAAUUUUGGUAAAUCUUUAAGUACAUAUGUGCAACUAAGAUUGGAUAUGAUUUACGAAAACAUUAUGGUUAAAAGUUUGCGUGAUUCACGAAAAGCGGAAACAGUUGGUAGCCGCGCUACUUCCUUUUUCAGAAUUGUUGUUGCGUCAUCUUUACCCCCGAAACCCAGAAACAAAAAAAUGAUUCGACACUCUUUUAUUUUAUUAGCAAUAUGGACUGCAUGCUUGGGAUAUUCUCUUGGUAAGUAUGUACGGUAUGUAGGUACCUAUUACCUAAUUUAACAAAUCAACGAAUUAAAAAUCAGCGCAUUUUUUCACAAAUGGAGGGUGCUUUAGGCAAGUGGUCAUCAUGAAUGGAUUUUGCACCCUUACUUCCUAAAACCUUGGUUUUUGAUACCCAUGCAGUAAUUUUUUCAAACCUUUGGGCUAAAAUGUUGAAAAUGAACUCUACAUCGAUUAAAACUUCAGGUUUUUUUUGAAACUAUUCAAUUUAGCAAUUAGCACCCCCUUGUUGAGGCCAAUUUUGGGUUUUUGUAUCAAAAAGUCAUUUAAAAAAUGAAAUCGGUGCCCUUAAGAACCUCCAGAACCAAAGGUUGAACGUUUUUUGCGCAAAACUCUCCAACGUUGACUGGUGAUGGUUGCCAGCUGUUCUAGAGCCGAAUUUACCAUUUUUGUGACUGUUGUAAAGUCAAUUUUUGUAUCUGGUAAUUCUAGUAUUUUUAGUGUUUAUGUAUUCGUAGCUAAAACGAUCUUUUUUGUGUGGUGUUUGGUGGUAACACUGACGUUCACAUGUUGUACAUUCGCGGUAGUUGUAAGUUUUAUUCUCUCUUGUCUCUCUCGUUGUAAUGGCGUUUGUGUAAUUAUAUUUUUAAAUGGUU